GGGCCCUACGGGAGGCAGCAGUGAGGAAUAUUGGUCAAUGGGCGAGAGCCUGAACCAGCCAAGUCGCGUGAAGGAUGACGGCCCUAUGGGUUGUAAACUUCUUUUGUCAGGGAGCAAUUGAGUCCACGUGUGGGCUUAGCGAGAGUACCUGAAGAAAAAGCAUCGGCUAACUCCGUGCCAGCAGCCGCGGCAAUACGUAGGGGGCAAGCGUUAUCCGGAUUUACUGGGUGU
rnacentral:rRNA from 1 species